AUGGCUGACGCGAACGCCCCCUUCGCUCUCGUCAGCCGCCUCUCCCCGGCCGCGCGCCUGCCCAUCCGUGCCUGGAGGGCCGCGAGGCCAGCGCCGCUCUCGACCGGCGGGAGAACCCGCCCGCUCUCCGUGGCCUCCGCGGCGCAGGAGAACAGGGACAACUCCGUCGACGUCCAAGUCAGCCAGGCCCAGAACGCCGGAAACCAGCAGGGCAACGCAGUCCAGCGCCGCCCUCGUCGCGCUGGAUUUGACAUCUCCCCGUUCGGGCUAGUGGACCCGAUGUCGCCGAUGAGGACGAUGCGGCAGAUGCUUGACACGAUGGACCGGCUGUUCGACGACGCCGUGGGGUUCCCCACGGCGCGGCGCUCGCUGGCGGCGGCGAGCGAGAUGCCGCGGAUGCCGUGGGACAUCAUGGAGGACGACAAGGAGGUGAAGAUGCGGUUCGACAUGCCCGGGCUGUCGCGGGAGGAGGUGAAGGUGAUGGUGGAGGGCGACGCGCUCGUCAUCCGCGGCGAGCACAAGAAGGAGGCCGGCGAAGGCCAGGGCGAAGCAGCGGAAGGCGGCGACGGGUGGUGGAAGGAGCGCAGCGUGAGCUCCUACGACAUGCGCCUGGCUCUGCCGGACGAGUGCGACAAGAGUCAGGUGCGCGCCGAGCUCAAGAACGGCGUGCUGCUCGUGUCCGUGCCCAAGAGGGAGACCGAGCGCAAGGUCAUCGACGUGAAGGUCCAGUGA
rnacentral:rRNA from 1 species